UACGUAGGGUGCGAGCGUUGUCCGGAAUUAUUGGGCGUAAAGAGCUCGUAGGCGGCUUGUUGCGUCGGAUGUGAAAGCCCGGGGCUUAACUCCGGGUCUGCAUUCGAUACGGGCAGGCUAGAGUUCGGUAGGGGAGAUCGGAAUUCCAGGUGUAGCGGUGAAAUGCGUAGAUAUCUGGAGGAACACCGGUGGCGAAGGCGGCGUUCUGGACUGCAACUGACACUGAGAAACGAAAGCCAGGGGAGCAAACGGG
rnacentral:rRNA from 1 species